AAAUUGAAGAGUUUGAUCAUGGCUCAGAUUGAACGCUGGCGGCAGGCCUAACACAUGCAAGUCGAACGGUAACAGGAAGCAGCUUGCUGCUUUGCUGACGAGUGGCGGACGGGUGAGUAAUGUCUGGGAAACUGCCUGAUGGAGGGGGAUAACUACUGGAAACGGUGGCUAAUACCGCAUAACGUCGCAAGACCAAAGAGGGGGACCUUCGGGCCUCUUGCCAUCAGAUGUGCCCAGAUGGGAUUAGCUAGUUGGUGAGGUAACGGCUCACCAAGGCGACGAUCCCUAGCUGGUCUGAGAGGAUGACCAGCCACACUGGAACUGAGACACGGUCCAGACUCCUACGGGAGGCAGCAGUGGGGAAUAUUGCACAAUGGGCGCAAGCCUGAUGCAGCCAUGCCGCGUGUAUGAAGAAGGCCUUCGGGUUGUAAAGUACUUUCAGCGGGGAGGAAGGUGUUGUGGUUAAUAACCGCAGCAAUUGACGUUACCCGCAGAAGAAGCACCGGCUAACUCCGUGCCAGCAGCCGCGGUAAUACGGAGGGUGCAAGCGUUAAUCGGAAUUACUGGGCGUAAAGCGCACGCAGGCGGUCUGUCAAGUCGGAUGUGAAAUCCCCGGGCUCAACCUGGGAACUGCAUUCGAAACUGGCAGGCUUGAGUCUUGUAGAGGGGGGUAGAAUUCCAGGUGUAGCGGUGAAAUGCGUAGAGAUCUGGAGGAAUACCGGUGGCGAAGGCGGCCCCCUGGACAAAGACUGACGCUCAGGUGCGAAAGCGUGGGGAGCAAACAGGAUUAGAUACCCUGGUAGUCCACGCCGUAAACGAUGUCUACUUGGAGGUUGUGCCCUUGAGGCGUGGCUUCCGGAGCUAACGCGUUAAGUAGACCGCCUGGGGAGUACGGCCGCAAGGUUAAAACUCAAAUGAAUUGACGGGGGCCCGCACAAGCGGUGGAGCAUGUGGUUUAAUUCGAUGCAACGCGAAGAACCUUACCUGGUCUUGACAUCCACAGAACUUUCCAGAGAUGGAUUGGUGCCUUCGGGAACUGUGAGACAGGUGCUGCAUGGCUGUCGUCAGCUCGUGUUGUGAAAUGUUGGGUUAAGUCCCGCAACGAGCGCAACCCUUAUCCUUUGUUGCCAGCGAUUAGGUCGGGAACUCAAAGGAGACUGCCAGUGAUAAACUGGAGGAAGGUGGGGAUGACGUCAAGUCAUCAUGGCCCUUACGACCAGGGCUACACACGUGCUACAAUGGCGCAUACAAAGAGAAGCGACCUCGCGAGAGCAAGCGGACCUCAUAAAGUGCGUCGUAGUCCGGAUUGGAGUCUGCAACUCGACUCCAUGAAGUCGGAAUCGCUAGUAAUCGUGGAUCAGAAUGCCACGGUGAAUACGUUCCCGGGCCUUGUACACACCGCCCGUCACACCAUGGGAGUGGGUUGCAAAAGAAGUAGGUAGCUUAACCUUCGGGAGGGCGCUUACCACUUUGUGAUUCAUGACUGGGGUGAAGUCGUAACAAGGUAACCGUAGGGGAACCUGCGGUUGGAUCACCUCCUUACCUUAAAGAA
rnacentral:rRNA from 6 species